rnacentral:rRNA from 1 species
AUUGAACGCUGGCGGCAGGCCUAACACAUGCAAGUCGAGCGGAUGAAGGGAGCUUGCUCCUGGAUUCAGCGGCGGACGGGUGAGUAAUGCCUAGGAAUCUGCCUGGUAGUGGGGGAUAACGUCCGGAAACGGGCGCUAAUACCGCAUACGUCCUGAGGGAGAAAGUGGGGGAUCUUCGGACCUCACGCUAUCUGAUGAGCCUAGGUCGGAUUAGCUAGUUGGUGGGGUAAAGGCCUACCAAGGCGACGAUCCGUAACUGGUCUGAGAGGAGGAUCAGUCACACUGGAACUGAGACACGGUCCAGACUCCUACGGGAGGCAGCAGUGGGGAAUAUUGGACAAUGGGCGAAAGCCUGAUACAGCCAUGCCGCGUGUGUGAAGAAGGUCUUCGGAUUGUAAAGCACUUUAAGUUGGGAGGAAGGGCAGUAAGUUAAUACCUUGCUGUUUUGACGUUACCAACAGAAUAAGCACCGGCUAACUUCGU